GGGCGAUUAGCUCAGCAGGUUCAGAGCACCUGCCUUACAAGCAGGGGGUCACUGGUUCGAAUCCGGUAUCGCCCACUA
rnacentral:tRNA from 1 species